AUUGAACGCUGGCGGCAGGCUUAACACAUGCAAGUCGAGCGGAGAUGAGGUGCUUGCACCUUAUCUUAGCGGCGGACGGGUGAGUAAUGCUUAGGAAUCUGCCUAUUAGUGGGGGACAACAUUCCGAAAGGAAUGCUAAUACCGCAUAUGUCCUACGGGAGAAAGCAGGGGAUCUUCGGACCUUGCGCUAAUAGAUGAGCCUAAGUCGGAUUAGCUAGUUGGUGGGGUAAAGGCCUACCAAGGCGACGAUCUGUAGCGGGUCUGAGAGGAUGAUCCGGCACACUGGGACUGAGACACGGCCCAGACUCCUACGGGAGGCAGCAGUGGGGAAUAUUGGACAAUGGGGGGAACCCUGAUCCAGCCAUGCCGCGUGUGUGAAGAAGGCCUUAUGGUUGUAAAGCACUUUAAGCGAGGAGGAGGCUACUGAGACUAAUACUCUUGGAUAGUGGACGUUACUCGCAGAAUAAGCACCGGCUAACUCUGUGCCAGCCGCCGCAGUAAAAC
rnacentral:rRNA from 1 species